rnacentral:rRNA from 1 species
UACCAGCACCCCGAGUGGUCGGGACGUUUAUUGGGCCUAAAGCAUCCGUAGACGGUUCUACAAGUCUUCCGUUAAAUCCACCUGCUCAACAGAUGGGCUGCGGAAGAUACUAUGGAGCUAGGAGGCGGGAGAGGCAAGCGGUACUCGAUGGGUAGGGGUAAAAUCCGUUGAUCCAUUGAAGACCACCAGUGGCGAAGGCGGCUUGCCAGAACGCGCUCGACGGUGAGGGAUGAAAGCUGGGGGAGCAAACCGG